GAUGAACGCUGGCGGCGUGCCUAAUACAUGCCAGUCGAGCGAACGGACGAGAAGCUUGCUUCUCUGAUGUUAGCGGCGGACGGGUGAGUAACACGUGGAUAACCUACCUAUAAGACUGGGAUAACUUCGGGAAACCGGAGCUAAUACCGGAUAAUAUUUUGAACCGCAUGGUUCAAAAGUGAAAGACGGUCUUGCUGUCACUUAUAGAUGGAUCCGCGCUGCAUUAGCUAGUUGGUAAGGUAACGGCUUACCAAGGCAACGAUGCAUAGCCGACCUGAGGGGGUGAUCUGCCACACUGGAACUGAGACACGGUCCAGACUCCUACGGGAGGCAGCAGUAGGGAAUCUUCCGCAAUGGGCGAAAGCCUGACGGAGCAACGCCGCGUGAGUGAUGAAGGUCUUCGGAUCGUAAAACUCUGUUAUUAGGGAAGAACAUAUGUGUAAGUAACUGUGCACAGCUUGACGGUACCUAAUCAGAAAGCCACGGCUAACUACGUG
rnacentral:rRNA from 1 species